AGCGAACGCUGGCGGCGUGCCUAACACAUGCAAGUCGAACGUGAAAGGGAGCAAUCCCAAGUAAAGUGGCGUACGGGUGAGUAACACGUAGGUAAUCUACCCCAGAAUCUGGAAUAGCCGGCCGAAAGGCUGGCUAAUACUGGAUAGAGCGACGGAAUCCGUAAUUGGGUUUUUCGGGAAAGGGAGCCUGUAAAAAGGCCUUCGUUCUGGGAUGAGCCUGCGUCCCAUCAGCUAGUUGGUGAGGUAAAAGCUUACCAAGGCAAUGACGGGUAGCUGGUCUGAGAGGACGAUCAGCCACACUGGAACUGAAACACGGUCCAGACUCCUACGGGAGGCAGCAGUGGGGAAUCUUGCGCAAUGGACGAAAGUCUGACGCAGCAACGCCGCGUGAGUGAAGAAGGCCUUCGGGUUGUAAAGCUCUGUCGAGUGGGACGAAAAUGCUUGGAGUUCACAGCUCCAGGAACUGACGGUACCACUAAAGGAAGCACCGGCUAACUCCGUG
rnacentral:rRNA from 1 species